rnacentral:rRNA from 1 species
GUGGGGAAUAUUGGACAAUGGGCGAAAGCCUGAUCCAGCCAUGCCGCGUGUGUGAAGAAGGUCUUCGGAUUGUAAAGCACUUUAAGUUGGGAGGAAGGGUAGUAACCUAAUACGUUGCUACUUUGACGUUACCGACAGAAUAAGCACCGGCUAACUUCGUGCCAGCAGCCGCGGUAAUACGAAGGGUGCAAGCGUUAAUCGGAAUUACUGGGCGUAAAGCGCGCGUAGGUGGUUCAGUAAGUUGGAAGUGAAAUCCCCGGGCUCAACCUGGGAACUGCUUUCAAAACUGCUGGGCUAGAGGACGGUAGAGGGUGGUGGAAUUUCCUGUGUAGCGGUGAAAUGCGUAGAUAUAGGAAGGAACACCAGUGGCGAAGGCGACCACCUGGACUGAUACUGACACUGAGGUGCGAAAGCGUGGGGAGCAAACAGGAUUAGAUACCCUAGUAGUCC